rnacentral:rRNA from 1 species
GAACGGGUGAGUAACACGUGAGUAACCUGCCCUUAACUCUGGGAUAAGCCUGGGAAACUGGGUCUAAUACCGGAUAUGACUCCUCAUCGCAUGGUGGGGGGUGGAAAGCUUUAUUGUGGUUUUGGAUGGACUCGCGGCCUAUCAGCUUGUUGGUGAGGUAAUGGCUCACCAAGGCGACGACGGGUAGCCGGCCUGAGAGGGUGACCGGCCACACUGGGACUGAGACACGGCCCAGACUCCUACGGGAGGCAGCAGUGGGGAAUAUUGCACAAUGGGCGCAAGCCUGAUGCAGCGACGCCGCGUGAGGGAUGACGGCCUUCGGGUUGUAAACCUCUUUCAGUAGGGAAGAAGCGAAAGUGACGGUACCUGCAGAAGAAGCGCCGGCUAACUACGUGCCAGCAGCCGCGGUAAUACGUAGGGCGCAAGCGUUAUCCGGAAUUAUUGGGCGUAAAGAGCUCGUAGGCGGUUUGUCGCGUCUGCCGUGAAAGUCCGGGGCUCAACUCCGGAUCUGCGGUGGGUACGGGCAGACUAGAGUGAUGUAGGGGAGACUGGAAUUCCUGGUGUAGCGGUGAAAUGCGCAGAUAUCAGGAGGAACACCGAUGGCGAAGGCAGGUCUCUGGGCAUUAACUGACGCUGAGGAGCGAAAGCAUGGGGAGCGAACAGGAUUAGAUACCCUGGUAGUCCAUGCCGUAAACGUUGGGCACUAGGUGUGGGGGACAUUCCACGUUUUCCGCGCCGUAGCUAACGCAUUAAGUGCCCCGCCUGGGGAGUACGGCCGCAAGGCUAAAACUCAAAGGAAUUGACGGGGGCCCGCACAAGCGGCGGAGCAUGCGGAUUAAUUCGAUGCAACGCGAAGAACCUUACCAAGGCUUGACAUGGACCGGACCGGGCUGGAAACAGUCCUUCCCCUUUGGGGCCGGUUCACAGGUGGUGCAUGGUUGUCGUCAGCUCGUGUCGUGAGAUGUUGGGUUAAGUCCCGCAACGAGCGCAACCCUCGUUCCAUGUUGCCAGCGCGUAAUGGCGGGGACUCAUGGGAGACUGCCGGGGUCAACUCGGAGGAAGGUGGGGACGACGUCAAAUCAUCAUGCCCCUUAUGUCUUGGGCUUCACGCAUGCUACAAUGGCCGGUACAAAGGGUUGCGAUACUGUGAGGUGGAGCUAAUCCCAAAAAGCCGGUCUCAGUUCGGAUUGGGGUCUGCAACUCGACCCCAUGAAGUCGGAGUCGCUAGUAAUCGCAGAUCAGCAACGCUGCGGUGAAUACGUUCCCGGGCCUUGUACACACCGCCCGUCAAGUCACGAAAGUG